UACGGGGGGGGCAAGCGUUGUUCGGAAUUACUGGGCGUAAAGGGCUCGUAGGUGGCCAACUAAGUCAGAUGUGAAAUCCCUCAGCUUAACUGGGGAACUGCGUCUGAUACUGGAUGGCUUGAGUUUGGGAGAGGGAUGCGGAAUUCCAGGUGUAGCGGUGAAAUGCGUAGAUAUCUGGAGGAACACCGGUGGCGAAGGCGGCAUCCUGGACCAUCACUGACACUGAUGAGCGAAAGCCAGGGGAGCAAACGGG
rnacentral:rRNA from 1 species